AUUGAACGCUGGCGGCAGGCCUAACACAUGCAAGUCGAGCGGAGCGGCGGACGGGGGAGUAAUGCCUAGGAAUCUGCCUGGUAGUGGCGGAUAGCGUCCGGAAAUGGGCGCUAAUACCGCAUACUAUCGGAUGAGCCUAGGGCGGAUUGUCUAGGUGGUGGGGUAAAGGCAAACCAGGGCGACGUUCCGUACCUGGUAUGAGUGGAUGAUCAGUCACUCGGGAACGGAGACACGGUCCAGACUCGUACGGGAGGCAUCAGUGGGGAAUAUUGCACAAUGGGCGCAAGCCUGAUGCAGCCAUGCCGCGUGUGUGAAGAAGGCCUUCGGGUUGUAAAGCACUUUCAGCGGGGAGGCGUUACCCGCAGAAGAAGCACCGGCUAACUCCGUGCCAGCCGCCGCGGUAAUUC
rnacentral:rRNA from 1 species